rnacentral:rRNA from 1 species
GACGAACGCUGGCGGCGUGCUUAACACAUGCAAGUCGAACGGAAAGGCCCUGCUUUUGUGGGGUGCUCGAGUGGCGAACGGGUGAGUAACACGUGAGUAACCUGCCCUUGACUUUGGGAUAACUUCAGGAAACUGGGGCUAAUACCGGAUAGGAGCUCCUGCUGCAUGGUGGGGGUUGGAAAGUUUCGGCGGUUGGGGCUGGACUCGCGGCUUAUCAGCUUGUUGGUGGGGUAGUGACUUACCAAGGCUUUGACGGGUAGCCGGCCUGAGAGGGUGACCGGCCACAUUGGGACUGAGAUACGGCCCAGACUCCUACGGGAGGCAGCAGUGGGGAAUAUUGCACAAUGGGCGGAAGCCUGAUGCAGCAACGCCGCGUGCGGGAUGACGGCCUUCGGGUUGUAAACCGCUUUCGCCUGUGACGAAGCGUGAGUGACGGUAAUGGGUAAAGAAGCACCGGCUAACUACGUG